rnacentral:rRNA from 2 species
CAUGAACGCUGGCGGCGUGCCUAAUACAUGCAAGUCGAACGAGUUCUCGUUGAUGAUCGGUGCUUGCACCGAGAUUCAACAUGGAACGAGUGGCGGACGGGUGAGUAACACGUGGGUAACCUGCCCUUAAGUGGGGGAUAACAUUUGGAAACAGAUGCUAAUACCGCAUAGAUCCAAGAACCGCAUGGUUCUUGGCUGAAAGAUGGCGUAAGCUAUCGCUUUUGGAUGGACCCGCGGCGUAUUAGCUAGUUGGUGAGGUAAUGGCUCACCAAGGCGAUGAUACGUAGCCGAACUGAGAGGUUGAUCGGCCACAUUGGGACUGAGACACGGCCCAAACUCCUACGGGAGGCAGCAGUAGGGAAUCUUCCACAAUGGACGCAAGUCUGAUGGAGCAACGCCGCGUGAGUGAAGAAGGCUUUCGGGUCGUAAAACUCUGUUGUUGGAGAAGAAUGGUCGGCAGAGUAACUGUUGUCGGCGUGACGGUAUCCAACCAGAAAGCCACGGCUAACUACGUGCCAGCAGCCGCGGUAAUACGUAGGUGGCAAGCGUUAUCCGGAUUUAUUGGGCGUAAAGCGAGCGCAGGCGGUUUUUUAAGUCUGAUGUGAAAGCCCUCGGCUUAACCGAGGAAGCGCAUCGGAAACUGGGAAACUUGAGUGCAGAAGAGGACAGUGGAACUCCAUGUGUAGCGGUGAAAUGCGUAGAUAUAUGGAAGAACACCAGUGGCGAAGGCGGCUGUCUGGUCUGUAACUGACGCUGAGGCUCGAAAGCAUGGGUAGCGAACAGGAUUAGAUACCCUGGUAGUCCAUGCCGUAAACGAUGAAUGCUAGGUGUUGGAGGGUUUCCGCCCUUCAGUGCCGCAGCUAACGCAUUAAGCAUUCCGCCUGGGGAGUACGACCGCAAGGUUGAAACUCAAAGGAAUUGACGGGGGCCCGCACAAGCGGUGGAGCAUGUGGUUUAAUUCGAAGCAACGCGAAGAACCUUACCAGGUCUUGACAUCUUUUGAUCACCUGAGAGAUCAGGUUUCCCCUUCGGGGGCAAAAUGACAGGUGGUGCAUGGUUGUCGUCAGCUCGUGUCGUGAGAUGUUGGGUUAAGUCCCGCAACGAGCGCAACCCUUAUGACUAGUUGCCAGCAUUUAGUUGGGCACUCUAGUAAGACUGCCGGUGACAAACCGGAGGAAGGUGGGGAUGACGUCAAAUCAUCAUGCCCCUUAUGACCUGGGCUACACACGUGCUACAAUGGAUGGUACAACGAGUUGCGAGACCGCGAGGUCAAGCUAAUCUCUUAAAGCCAUUCUCAGUUCGGACUGUAGGCUGCAACUCGCCUACACGAAGUCGGAAUCGCUAGUAAUCGCGGAUCAGCACGCCGCGGUGAAUACGUUGCCCGGGCCUUGUACACACCGCCCGUCACAACCAUGAGAGUUUGUAACACCCGAAGCCGGUGGCGUAACCCUUUUAGGGAGCGAGCCGUCUAAGGUGGGACAAAUGAUUAGGGUGAAG